rnacentral:rRNA from 1 species
GUGUUGUGGUUAAAAAGCUCGUAGUUGGAUCUCAACAGCCUUGAAGCGGUUAACUUUGUAGUUUUACUGCUUUAUAGGCUGUGCUUUUGCUGGAGGUUUAGGGUGCUCUUGAUCGAGUGUCUCUGGAUGCCAGCAGGUUUACUUUGAAAAAAUUAGAGUGCUCAAAGCAGGCUAAAAUGCCUGAAUAUUCGUGCAUGGAAUAAUAGAAUAGGAUGUCGAUCCUAUUUUGUUGGUCUUCGGGACUCGACAUAAUGAUAAAUAGGGACAGUCGGGGGCAUUUGUACUCAAACGACAGAGGUGAAAUUCUUGGACCGUUUGAAGACAAACUACUGCGAAAGCAUUUGCCAAGAAUGUUUUCAUUAAUCAAGAACGAAAGUUAGAGGUUCGAAGGCGAUUAGAUACCGCCCUAGUUCUAACCAUAAACGAUGCCAGCUAGCGAUCUGCCUGCGUUUUUACUGUAGACUGGGCAGGAAGCUUCCGGGAAACCAAAGCAUUUGGGUUCCAGGGGAAGUAUGGUUGCAAAGCUGAAACUUAAAGGAAUUGAC